CUUUGGGACAUCAGAGGCCAGGUUUGUUGUCUGUUGCUAGGUCAGUCCCCUCCUCUUGGCAGCCUCUCUCUCUUUAACACCCCCUCCUAGGAAAGCAGAGAGGUUCAUUUGCUGGGUCCCUUCUGCCGUGCACACUGAAUUCCGAGGGUUCAUGAAUACUUCAGCUAAAACAGAAUCAAGUUUCCAACACUCCCUAGGUCAGUCCCCUCCUCUUGGCAGCCUCUCUCUCUUUAACACCCCCUCCUAGGAAAGCAGAGAGGUUCGUUUGCUGGGUCCCUUCUGCCGUGCACACUGAAUUCCGAGGGUUCAUGAAUACUUCAGCUAAAACAGAAUCAAGUUUCCAACACUCCCGUGGGGCUCACGUUGUUAGUUGAAAAGCAGUGCAUUCCUGGACCGAUCAUACCAAGCCAGCACAGUUCUCACUUUGGGAGGUCUUUAUUGAAAGUUGGGAAGAAGCAAGGAAGAGAGGAGACAGCUCCUGCUUCCUGACCUGCUUGAGUUCCAG
rnacentral:sRNA from 1 species